GGUUAUCAAGCAUAUUGAAUCGGGUGGACCAGUGUAACUGUUGUCUUACGAUCCGAAAUAACUGAGGCGAUGAGGCUUCUAGUAAUAGAAAUAGUACCAAUGUAGAUAUUUGACCUGAGAUUAAGUUCCUAUAGGUCUACCACAUAUCUCAGGCAGUUGGUACAGUUCAGAUUUAACAAUAUGUUACGGGUUUGAUUUUAUUUUGUUAUGACCUUGAAGAUCGCUCACGCUGAUUGGUUUAUGUAAAAUUAUGUAAAAGUCGUGCGUGAUAUGAGCAAGACGAUCGUCAAGGUCUUAUCAAAACCAGUCCAAAACUAUAUCAAAUUGUUAAAUCUGGAUCGGGCUGCUUGAAGCGUCAUAAUAAAGAUCAAUAUCAAGAGGUCACGGUCGAUCUAUAAUAGUUGAGUCAUUUGGGGCUCAAGCUAAUUUGGUUGUUCCAUACUUACAUUAUCAAGUGUCCAAUAUAAAUUACCUACUUCACGUCCUGAAUAGCUCAACAUUGAAAGUCCUUGACUAUAUGCUUAUGAGUUUUUGUAUGUAUUUUGUAAUGUUUGUAUUGCAUAAUAGUUGCGAAAUACUUGGACUUAGAGAAAGCCGUGUGGAAUGUCGCUUGAAAUAAAUAUGGUACAUUAUCUAUGCAGUAGCGACAGAUAGGUUACUAGGUUAGAUAGGUACUCCUCUAAUGACAAGGAUAAAAAGAA